rnacentral:rRNA from 1 species
AACGAACGCUGGCGGCGUGCUUAACACAUGCAAGUCGAACGCGAAAGGGACUUCGGUCCUGAGUAAAGUGGCGCACGGGUGAGUAACACGUGGAUAAUCUACCCAGUGUUCCGGGAUAACACUUCGAAAGGAGUGCUAAUACCGGAUAAGCCCACGGGAACUUCGGUUCUUGCGGGAAAAGGUGGGGACCUUCGGGCCUACUGUCACUGGAUGAGUCCGCGGCCCAUUAGCUAGUUGGUGAGGUAAUGGCUCACCAAGGCAACGAUGGGUAGCUGGGCUGAGAGGAUGAUCAGCCACCCUGGAACUGAGACACGGUCCAGACUCCUACGGGAGGCAGCAGUGGGGAAUUUUGCGCAAUGGGCGAAAGCCUGACGCAGCAACGCCGCGUGAGUGAUGAAGGCCCUCGGGUCGUAAAGCUCUGUCAGAGGGGAAGAACCGCCGUACGGAUAAUAACCGUGCGGUCUGACGGUACCCUCAAAGGAAGCACCGGCUAACUCCGUGCCAGCCGCCGCAGUAAUAC